UGCUAACCUCGCAUCCGCCAGGCUUGCAGGUUCCACCAGGACUAGGGGAAGCCUAAGGCCAAGGAGGGCAAGGUCUAGGGUCUGGACCUGAGAACUGGUUCUGCCACUUGUGAUCGCAGCGCUUAUGCUGGAAAGGAGGGCAGGAAGCAUAUCGCAACGUGUGUCCGGACGAUGACCCAGAAGGGGGGAGUUGUGGUCACCCACGGACUCUGGGUCUGCAUAUGGAGGCCCCCAGGGUGCAAUUCCAGGAGCAGAAGGCAAAGCCACAGAGGCCAAAGUGCACCUCGCCGAUGCUUCCCAGGGGCAUUUCCCCAAAUAUGGGGAGCAGUCCCUCCUCUGGGCUAGGGACUUUGUUUCCUCCAUUGUCAUCACUGACUGUGAGCAGACUCUAGUCUAUGCAGACUAAUGAGGAGUUAUCAAAAUGAGCUCCAAACUCCGGAUUUGAGUUAAGGAUCAUAAAUUAACACAGAGAAAUACGACUUUAGCAAUAAGUGACUGUUUGAAGCCCAAGUUGCCUUAAAACACGGAAUUUCAGUCUUUCAGCUCCUCUGCUAAUCUAGUGACUAAGAACAGGAUCUCACUGGAGCUCAAAGAUGUGGGGCACUGGGAAUACUCUGGGUCUGUCUGCUCACGGCUGAUUGCCUGAUCCCAGUUUUAUUAUACAGCUUAAAUACAGACCAGAAGAGGAGUUUGGGGCUUGACACCUGACAUCUUAACACCAGUUCCUGUUUCUUGAGGAAGGAAGAGGUAAAAUAAAUCAGCAUUUACUGUGUCCUUCUCCAUCCCCGGAAGUCUUCAUGAAGACCCUCUCAGCUUCUACUUGAACGUGAAUAUGAGCAACUGAUCAUCUGUUCUGCAGUCAGCCCCUGGCCUGAUUCUGACUCAUGGUAUUGACCUUCUCCAUCAUCACCUUCCACAAAUUUGAUUCCUAUCUAUUCUGCCUGGAAUGGUUCACGAGUAUAGUCACCAUUUAUGUUCCUGACGAAAGCAGGUGAAGGCAUUCGUGGAGAGAGGCGAUUUCCAUGCGUGCAGGAAAGUGUGUGCUGAGAUGAUGAGUCGCUGGAGACCGGGGUGGACUCUUCAGACCCAGGAUAGGCCUCUGGCAGGUAUGUGUCAAUGUUUUCUGCCCAUGGCACUCACCCGGGUAUUUGCAUAGAAUGUCGUCAGCGGAAUUAGUAGUCUCCGGAGAGGCUGCCACAUGUCAACAAGCUUCACCUGGCCAGAGUACACCCGUGAUGUAGCUCCCCAAUCAGUCACCUUCCCCCUUUGCUCUUUCGUCUCUAGGCACUCUAUCAGGCACUCCAAGCUGUGAAGUGACUCAGGGAGAGAAGGAAGAGAUUUCAGAGAAUGAACACAUACAGAGAGAGAGGCAAGAGAUGCUGAGUGAGGAUGUCUUGCGUACUGAUAUCCUGAGGAAAGUGGGAAAAUUGGACCCUGGCCUGCUCUGCCAAUGCCCUGAAGCAGUCCGCACCAGGGGCUCCCUUGUGCCUGCGUAGCCUUUCCCAGGGUGUGCUCAAAUCCUGUGGCCACUAGGUGUCCUAGGUCACAAUGGAGGACCCUGUGUCAUCUGCCUGGUGGACUGGAUCUCUGCCAUUGGCUGAGUCUUGUCACCAGGCCCAUCAUAAGCUCUGCCCACUCUUCCGGUGGGGAGACUCUCUCCAUGGUGAUGGCAAAGAAACCUUAGUCCCGCCCACCUGGCCUUGACUUCACCUACCUGGCCUGCUGACCCUCACUCAGACCUCUGUGUCGAUCAAAAUGAAUGUUCACCAGUUGCCCGGUGUCAGCAUCUGGUAUAAAGGAUUCGGGACCUUGCCUGAGGCAGAAGGCAGCCUAGGUCUGCGGGUACCUGGAAGUCUAGUGACUUGUGACGCUGCUGCCAGUGAGAAAUGGUGACUCCCAUACUCACAUAUCCCCUGGUGGCAGAAUGAUAGUGAUGGGUGGAGAAACAUGGUUCCGGAGCACACGUUCAGUCGGGCACCGGCCAAAUGCCACGGCCAGGAGUGGACGUUGUGGAGCUGCAUGGCGAGCCAGUGAAGGGCCCAAGGAUUUCUCCAAUGAGGCAAAAUGCAGAUCAAGCCAAGGAACAUAAAGAUAAAGCAGCUGAAGAAAUUAAAAAGGUUACUCAAGAACAUAGUUAAAAAUUUAAUAAGCUGCAAGAAACCAUAGAGAGACUGCAAUCAGAGAUUCAGAAGAUUAACAAUAAAAUUACAGAGUUAGAAAACUCAAUAGAAAGUAAGAAGAGCACAACUGAGGAAUUGGAAGGCAGAAUUACUGAGAUUGAAGGUGAAACUCUUGGGACUAAUAUAUUUGAAGAGAAAGCAGAUAAAAGAAAUUUAAAUGAAGAAAUCCAAAGAAUCAUAUGGGACUUUAUCAAGAGAAAUAACUAUGAGUGAUUUCAGUACCAGAACAGGGAGGGCUAACAGAAAAUACAAAGGGAACUGUUGAAGAUUUGUUGGCAGAAAACUUCCAUGAUAUCAUGAAAGAUGCUCAUCGAAUUCCACAUAAGGUAGAUCUCAAAAGAAAGUGACCGAGACACAUAAUAAUCAAACUUGCCAAAAUCAAAUAUAAAGAGAAUUUUAAGAGAGGCUAGGGAUAAAGGAAGUCACCAACAAAGGAGAGUAAAUAAUAAAAAACUUGGACUACUCAGCAGAAAUCAUGCAGGCAAGAAGGCAAAGGGAUGACUUACACAAAAUAUUGAAGGAAAAAAAUUGCCAGCCAGGAAUCAAACCAUAACCCUGGCCCUCUGGCCUUCUGGCCCUCUGGCCUUAGCCCUCUAACUCUAGCCCCUAAGCCCUGAGCCCCAAAGCCCCUAAGACCCUAAGCCCUUAGGUCCUAACCCCCAAGGCCCUAAACCCUAACCCUAACCCAAACCCUAACCCCUAUAGCCUAAACUCUACAACCUAAACACCUACACCCCAAAACACUACACAUCAAAACCCUACACACUAAACCCUAUACUCUAAGCCUCAAACCCUAAACCCAAACCUCAAAUUCCAAACCCUAAACCUAACCGUAAACCCUAAACCCUAACACCUAACCCUAACCCCUAACCACCCUAACCCUAAUGACCCUAACCCUAACCCUCGAACCCUAACCCUCUAACGCUAACAUGAAACCCUAAUCCGAAACCCUAACCCUCUAACUCUAACCUCUAACCCUCUAACCCUAGCCCUAAUCCUAACCCCAACCUCCAAACCUAACCCCAAACCCUAAACCUCAAAUCCCUAGCCCUAAACCUAAGAAUGAGCCUAAGCCUAACCCUAUCACUUAACUCUAAACCCUAAACCAUAACA